rnacentral:rRNA from 1 species
CCUACGGGAGGCAGCAGUGAGGAAUAUUGGUCAAUGGACGAGAGUCUGAACCAGCCAAGUAGCGUGAAGGAUGACUGCCCUAUGGGUUGUAAACUUCUUUUAUAUGGGAAUAAAAUGUUCCACGUGUGGGAUUUUGUAUGUACCAUAUGAAUAAGGAUCGGCUACCUCCGUGCCAGCAGCCGCGGUAAUACGGAGGAUCCGAGCGUUAUCCGGAUUUAUUGGGUUUAAAGGGAGCGUAGGUGGAGUGUUAAGUCAGUUGUGAAAGUUUGCGGCUCAACCGUAAAAUUGCAGUUGAAACUGGCAGUCUUGAGUACAGUAGAGGUGGGCGGAAUUCGUGGUGUAGCGGUGAAAUGCUUAGAUAUCACGAAGAACUCCGAUUGCGAAGGCAGUUCACUGGACUGCAACUGACACUGAGGCUCGAAAGUGUGGGUAUCAAACAGGAUUAGAUACCCCGGUAGUC